UCCAAGUUACCUAAGAGUCUGCCGUAAUCUUGUGCGUGGUAAAAACUAAACCAAAAUGACUGAGCAUGCUUUCUCCUCUAAUUCAACUGAAAUGACACAAAUGACGUAUUGCAGCAUGUCACCAAGCUUUCCGAAGAUUCAUUGAUGUUGAUGGAUUAAAACAUAGUCAGAAGAAGCUUAAAAAGUUUGGCUCAUUUGGAUAUCCACACAGAAGACUUGGAAACAGAUAAUGAUUUUGUUAAUUUCUGCCACUCUUCAAGGUGCAGUGUCAAUGUCUAGUCAUCUCAGUGAGGUUAUGCACUAGCCUUAGGCAAACAAUGAAGAAAAUAAGUCAUUCAGCUAACUCAUGGAAACCAACAAACACCUCAAGUCUUCUGUAGUGGGCCAAGAAAAGGAGGCAAGCUGCAGUUGCCUCUGAUUUAUCAAAGGGCUGUAACUAGCUUCAAAAAGCUCAAUUACUUCCCUGUUCUCCUAUUGCCUGGGGGAGGUGCAACACCGACUGUGAAUUUCAUAGUCCCUGCCUUUCUGUUUCUGUUUGACAACAUUUUUGCAAUGAUGUGCAAAGAAUGUAGUAUCAUAGCUUUUAAACAUUUGCUAGAAUACAGCUUCCUCUAUCCAAGCUAACAGGAGAAGCUCCUCCAUCUCAAAUUUUAGCCAGCUCUCUAUUUUUAUAUGCACAUAAGGCACACUGUGAAAGCUGAGGAGAGAACACCUAUGGGGUUAUCUGUAGAUUCAAGUUUGAACAAGUCAGGCCAAUAAACUCCCUGUCAUUAACAAGCAUGCUGUAUGCAGUAAGGCAGGUUUUUCAUCAUUUACUGUUGUAAUUAAAGUUAGUUUUAGAUAAGAUCAUAUUGCCACUUUGACAGUGUUACCACUGUGCUAUCCUUUAUUGAUGCUAUUUGUAAGUGUCAAAUGUAAAUCCACUGAAUAAUAAUAAAAAAAUAAAUAAU